CAUGACGCUGAUAACAGCCGCCUCGACACGACUGCUUAUUCAUGUUUUAAGGCCAUUAAAGUACAGUUACUGCAGAUGAUAGCUCAGUUACAGUCUCUGUCACUCAACAGCAUAUAUUUCAGCCCAUCAAUAACGUUAAUAACAAACGACACGCUGUGAAGUCAAGCAUCAAGCAUGUCACUCUGGUCACCUAAUAAAGGGUGUGUUUGGUCCAGCAGAAGCAUGUGGUCAGACAUUGACUGUAAUGAUGGACAUCUGCUGAGUGACAGAAUUAAUUUAGAACACUUUAUAGUGUGAUUUCUGGACCAACACAAGAUCCAUUUCCCCAUUCUCUGUUGAUUCUGUCACUGCUGAUACACAAAUCAUCCACCAGUGGGCACAACAUUGACACAUUGAUCAGGCUUUCAUCAUUAAAUCUUUAUUCAAAUGAGAUG